rnacentral:rRNA from 1 species
GUACAUGCUUAUAGCAUAACGUCAAUGCACCAAAUCCCAUUACAACUUUGUAGUUAAGCGCACUCGGGCUAGAGUAGUACUGGGAUGGGUGAUUGAUCGAGAAAUCUUAGUAUUUUACAUG